rnacentral:rRNA from 1 species
UACAGAGGGUGCGAGCGUUGUCCGGAAUCACUGGGCGUAAAGAGCUCGUAGGCGGCUCGUCGCGUCGACCGUGAAAACCCGCGGCUUAACUGCGGGCUUGCGGUUGAUACGGGCGGGCUAGAGUUCGGUAGGGGAGACUGGAAUUCCUGGUGUAGCGGUGAAAUGCGCAGAUAUCGGGAGGAACACCAGUGGCGAAGGCGACUUCCUGGCCUGUUCUUGACGCU